CUAAGAAAAGCAUAUUUCCCCUCUUCAGCUAUGGUGUCAGUAGCUCAUUCACUAAGAUAUUAAACCAGACAACAAAUGGUAUCACAACAUCUGAGCCAAAGCUUAUUUUCAGAGCACAGAAGCUGCUGUGCCUGUGUGAAGUAUCUUUGCUGGAUCAGGGCUCUUGUUCCUUUUAACUUCAGUUCAGUUACCUGAGACCUCAGCUCAUUCUCAGUCACUGUGUCCUGCCACAAUACUAAAAUUUUCAUAUUGGUCUUCAUAAUUGUUCAAAUCCUUUCAAAGUCUUACCUCUUACAUACCAGCCAGAAAACAUCUUUCCUUUCAUCUUAAACCAGACUAAGCAGUAAGCCUUUUUAAUUCUUGUUUUUCAGGAUGAAUUCCUGGUGAGUGAAACAAAAUAAGGAGAGGGGCAUAGGUUCAGUUCUUCCUAGUACCACACUUCCUCACUGGAGGUAAAGCUGUGUAGCUCCUGGGGUGGCCAGGAAGAGAAGGCAGGAACUCUGCCUUACAGGGAUGUAACUCUGAUCCAUCUCCCUUCCUUCCCCCUAACACCAACCCGGUGAGGAGCAGAGUCCUGGAGUGGUAUUUCCACCACUCUUGGCUGUAGCAUUCUGGCCCGUGGAGAGAGUGUUCCAUGUCCACUUUACUGCACCUCUGCAAAUGUCAUGCUACCCUUAAACCUUCCUGUCACACUGUGCCCCAAGAAAUUACCCUACCACCAAGCCAGAGUCAAUCUCGCCAUCCCUCUGGAUUCCUGUCUGUAGUUUGGGCCUGUCAUAUUGACACAAGAUAUCCACAGAUCUCUCUUCCUUCAAAUCAACCAGGCACAGGGGUCCUGCCUGUCUGGGAGCUGGAGGAGCGAAGGGCUGGAUGCCAAGUGACUGGACUCCAGCUGGGGACUUGAGGAAACUCCACUGCCUGAGCAGCCACCUCAUGGCCUUCAAAAAUAAGAAACUAGAGUUGACUUUGAGAAGAAAGCAAAGAAUUAAGUUGUACUUCUGAGACACUUGGACUGAACCCAGCCAGGCAGGAGAAGCACGUACCAGAAUUAUCAGCCAUAAGUACAACGGGAACAAGAAGUUUGGAUGAUGAACAAGGAAUGGAUGUAGGAGC